CUGUUUUUUCAUGAAAAACUUUCUACACACUCUAGCCUUCGCAAAAAUUGAAAUAUAAACUUGAAAUGUGGACAAAAUCUUCCGCUUGUAGCAGGGAAGACUGGUAUUAAAGAUGGGCUCAAUCGGUCCAGGAGUUUUAGAGAUAUUCAACUUUUCCUGAAAACCUAUUAUGGGCUAUGUCUCAAAAACUACGCAACCGAUUUCAAUGUGUCUUUUUUUUUUAAAUACUCGUCUCAGUGUCCUCUAUCUAGAUCAAUCAAAACGUAUGCGCGCUUUAGCCUGUAUGAAAAUUGAAAUAUCAUUAUUAUUAAUUUGAAAUUUGGACAGACGUUUCCUCUCGUGACAAUAAAAGUUCGUAUUGAAAAUGGGUUCGAGUUUCGUUCCUUCCUUUAUUAUCAUCAUGUGUUCUUCCACAGGUAAUUUUGUUAGGAUAGUUGAGAUAUCAAUUUGUAGAGAUACCAGCGGUAUUUUGGACAAUGACAGGCUUUUCUGUCCUGGCAUCGGCAAAAGCCGACUCAUGGAGCAGCUCACGGAAACUGCACGAAAGCGUUGUUUCAUCGGUGCUCUUGUACAGCGCUCAUUUGUUCGUUCUUCGAUACUCUUCCAUCUUGCCCGAAAUACUCCAGGAUACUUAGUUCGUCUGGAAUUUGGUUUAGCCUGUGUUACCCAGACUCUCGUCAAAAUGAGUAUCAACUGGAUUAUAAAGAUUCUGAAGAUGGAACCGCAUCGUUUGCCGAAAAUAUGUUUCUUGAGACUCUUGGAAUUAAAUGAGUCCACAAUAUCCUCUGCUCAUUAUAACUGGAUUAGUCAACUGGAUUCGAUAACAAACGGUCAUAUCACAGACGACACCUGGCAAUCCAGUGAUUGGACCUUUUGGGAAAAGAAAAAAUAUCUGAUCCUCAAGCUGGCUGCGGAUUCCAGAGUCGAGGGCCUAUAACGGUGUAACAGAUCAGCACACAUUCAAAUCCCAUUGGUGAGGAAAAUUGAGGACAACUUUUUGAGCUUCUAUCCUGAAAGAUGCCCGAUUCACCUUGUGAGAACGAUAAUGCAGCUCAGGUUAUCUACCAGCCAUUCCAAACGUAUUAUUCUGAACCGAAAAUUAUUCUUUCAAGACCCAAAUUUAAUCUGUUUCAGAUACAGAUUAGGUGAACUCGACACUUGGGUUCACACUCUGCUUUAUUGCUCAGCUUAUAGGCACAUCCGAGAGCAUUAUAUUCUCCCCUGGCUCUCAGCCAAUCUCUCAGCGAUGGACAAUCUCCAUAAGCUAGUUAGCUCGAAGGACGUCAGAUGCAUGAAGGAUGUUUACCUCUUCCUCAAGACGGUCUACGAAUCGCACUCAAUUUGCCAUUGAUUAAAUCUAUCCCGUCCCCUUUACUUUUACUUACUGUGCUCAGACCUUUUUCUAUUUGCGGCUUUUUCUUUUUCUAUUCUUGUUUUCGGGUAAUUACGACAAAACCUUGAUAACGCUGUUGUUGAUAGUCUUGCUUAUUGGCCAGUUUUUCUUAAACUAUUUCAUUACGUUCCAGAUUUCUUACACUAUUAUUAUUAUAUCGUUCAAGAUCGGACUUGAUUGUAUAACUAUCCAUUAUAUCAUGCAGAACCUCACAUUUUAUGAAUAUAUGUAUUCCAAAAAAUGUAAUAAACUACUACUACUACUCUUUUC